AUGCCUGCCCAGUGAUCUCAUUAAACGGCCGCGGUAUCCUAACCGUGCAAAGGUAGCGCAAUCACUUGUCCCCUAAAUAGUGACUAGUAUGAAUGGCUCCACGAGAAUAGACCUGUCUCUUUUAACAAAUCAAUGAACCUGAUCUUCCAGUACAAAAGCUGGAAUACUAACAUAAGACGAAAAGACCCUGUGGAGCUUAAGUACUACACUACCCCCCCCUAGCAUAAAUACUUCAGUUGGGGCAACUUCGGAAUCAAACUAAACUUCCGACCACACUCCGAAAACACCGCCACAACAGACCUACAAGUCAAACCAACGAGACAGACCCAGUAAAUCACUGAUUAACGAACCAAGUUACCCCAGGGAUAACAGCGCUAUCUUCUUCUAGAGCCCCAAUCGACAAGAAGGUUUACGACCUCGAUGUUGGAUCAGGACACCCAAAUGGCGCAGCCGCUAUUAAA
rnacentral:rRNA from 1 species